GAGACAUUAGUAAAACUUACAUAACUUUGUCAAAGUUAAGUUACAAGCGAAACCCUUGUAUGUCUCC
rnacentral:tRNA from 1 species